AGGACUGUGGCUUUGUGGUAAAACAUCUGCUUUGAAUGUAGAAGGUUCUAGUUUCAAUCCCUGGCAUUCCCA